GUUGUAUAGUUAAGUGACUAAGCGUACAAGGUGGAUGCCUUGGCAAUCAGAGGCGAAGAAGGACGUGCUAAUCUGCGAAAAGCUUGGAUGAGUCGAUAAGAGGCGUUUAAUCCAAGAUGUCCGAAUGGGGAAACCCAGUAGAUGAAGAAUCUACUAUCACUUACUGAAUCCAUAGGUAAGUGAGGCAAACCGGGAGAACUGAAACAUCUAAGUACCCCGAGGAAAAGAAAUCAACCGAGAUUUCGUUAGUAGCGGCGAGCGAACGCGAAGGAGCCUGUUAGUGAUAAUGACAGAGACAGAGGAACAAGCUGGGAAGCUUGGCGAUACAGGGUGAUAGCCCCGUACUCGAAGUCCAGGUCAUGGUACUAAGCUAACGACAAGUAGGGCGGGACACGUGAUAUCCUGUUUGAAGAAGGGGGGACCAUCCUCCAAGG
rnacentral:rRNA from 1 species